AUUCGUCGAAUCGCCGAGCGAUCGACAUCAAGUAUUAUACAUCUCCGUCCACAAAUACGUAUAUCCUAUAAUCUUAAAUAGAUAUACCUAUAUAUAUAUAUAUAUAUAUACACAUAUUUAUAUAGAUAUAUACAUAUAUCUAUCUUUUAUUCUUUUUUCUCUUUUUAUCUUGUUUGCUCUUUUUUUUUUUAAUCCACGAGAAGAAAGUAGGAAAGAGAAAGGCCAAAAAAAAAAAAGGGAAAAGAGGAGAGUCUGGACAGAUUUUUUUAAAGUUCGUAUAAAGGGGGUCAAUAAACUCAAUCCAAAGAGGAUGGAGAAGGACCAGCCGGAUUCUUUGGCAACGGUUGCUGUCGUCUCGGAGAAGAUGCCGCAGACGCACAGUCAUUAUGCACCUAGCGAAGUCUAUUCCUCUGCCGAACCACCACCGGCAUACAUGAGGCCACCAAUGAAGAAUACGGCGGUUCAGAUCGCAAGGAUCGCCGCUAUCACUUUGAUAACGAUUUCGAUUAUCCUUGGAAGCUUCAUCCUUACUUCAUCUUGGAUUCAAGCUCGUAUGUCUUGUACACCAGAAGCUAUGGCGGCUAUGCAAGCUGAAAUGAAGUUUCAACAACAACAACAACAACAACAGGGCGAAUUAUUGAAACAUCUGCAACCGGAGGCUCUCAUUCAAGAUCCCAUUGAAGCAAAGGAAAGUUUACAAAGUCUUGCAGAAACGACUAAGAAGGAAAAUGAAGUAAAUACUAAAGAUAUGAAGGUUCAAAAAGAAGAGGAUAAUGCUUCGAAAUCCGACAAUGAAAGUGGCGAUCGCGAUGAGGACGACGACGAUUACGACGACGAUCAGUUUCCCCCUGUGCAUAUUAAACUUCCUCUUCAGCUCGAUUUGGAUGAUAUCGCUGGAGCACUGAUGCAACAAGCACGAAGUAGAGUUUCCUGUGUAGUUGAAAGACGAAGAGCCGAUGAAGUAAUGGACGGAACUAACGACAACGGACUGGAUAACAGUACCGAUCCUCAACGCUUCCAAAGAUUAAGCGGUGAACGCGUUGCUAUCCUUUGUGAAUCAGGCAAUCCUAAUCAGGAGCAACAGGAGCAAGAAAUGCUUACUCCGAUCAUUGUUCCAUUAGGAACUGUACAAAUUCCCCUUCAAUCGCAAGAACCUAAUCCGAAUUAUCAUCAGUAUCAAAUUCAUACACAAUAUCAAGUUCCUGAUAUGCAACAAUUGCCGUUAAGCGAUCCACGAGGCUUAAAUCAUAUACCACCUAAUGUCCUUCCUGCUGAACUACGUAAUCUUCCUCAACUAACAAUGGAAAUGAGACCACCGCGAAUGGGCCCGCAAGCUCCAAUGAUGGGACCUCAAACUGGUGCAACAGGACCACAGAUUGAAAUGCGUCAAAUUCCAAUCGAAUUACGUCAUUUCCCAAUGGACCCAUCAAGGAAUAUGAGACCACCGAUGCCACAAGAACAACGUCAAGAACCACACCAAAUACCGAUUAUGUAUCAACAACCUGAUCAAAAUCUUGAAAUGUAUGGUCAAGAACAGCAGGGUGCAGCUAUGAUGCCACCACCACCACCACCACCACCAUCGCAUACUGAACAACAAAUUCCUGAACAAAGAGUAUUGCCCCAAAUUAUCGUACCACAAACUGAACAAAGAAUGCCCAUGCAACCGCAAGUCGUUCCAGAAAGACCUCAUUCGCCUUUCCAGGGAAUACCUAUAGAAAUUAGAAGGAUUAUUCAACAAGUACCCUUAGAAAUAAAGAACAUAAUCCAACAUAUUACGGGAGAAGCUCGACCAGUACCGAUACAAGUUUCCGAAGGAGCACGACGAGAGAAUACACAAGAAUUCAAACCAUUCCCUGAAACAACACGACCUAUUAUACCUAUGGGAUCAUUCCCACUUCCCGUCGAAGUAAGAAAUCUUUUGGAACAUGGAAAUAUUGAAGGACGACGACGAGAGGAUGCCUCUAAUGAGCAACAAGAAGCUAAACCCUUCCCAGGUCCAGAGGACGAGGGUGAAGAAGUUGAGAAGAACUUUCCUGUACCUGCUGAAAUUCGUAAUAUAAUACAUCAAGUUGUAGAGGGACGUGCAUUCCCUGUACCAAGGUUCACUUUACCUUUGAGACCUGUAGAAUCAUUGGAAGUACCAGUCGAAGCUCGUGCUGAAGUUAGUGAUGGCAGUGAAUCGGAACAUCAACAGCAAGAGCAACAACCAAUGCAUACUGUAAUUCAACAACAACAACAACAACAACAACAACAACAACAACAACAGCAGCAGCAGCAGCAACAACAACAACAAUCGCAACAGCAACAACAGCAACAAGAACGAGAAGAAGAGAAUCGACCACAUUAUGUUCAACCACGUUCUGUACGCUCAAUUCCUGAACCAUUUGCCCAUCGUCGAGAAAAACGUGUACGUCGUUGCGCUUGUGAUUGUGCUUGCUAAUUUUGUCAAAUUUGACGAGUUUAACGCUUUUUCGGGGCUAACUUAAACAUUUAUCUAUCUAUCUAUAUAUAUAUAUUUAUGUAUAUAUUUACGCGUAUAUAUUUGUUAACAUUUAAUGAAAUUCUAAUGCCCUGAAGUAAUAUUCUUUUUAUUAAAAACAUGUAGCUAACCGCGUCGUUGUUCUUUCAUAUCUAGAAUUUCCUAGAAUUGGAGGAAAUUGCGGAUCAUACUAUUAGUUGAAACGAUAUGUUUAGAAGAAUCAUACAAGAAUUAUAAGCGAUUUAAGAGAAUAAAAUAGAAGUUUCAACUAGAAAUAAAUAAAUAAAUAUAUAUAUAUAUAUACACAUAUAUAUAUUAAUAUAUCACUAAAUAGAUGUAUAAAUCAAGAUCGCGUAAUGAUCGUACGUAAUAAAAUAAUCGAAACAUUGACGACUCGUUAAAACAUUUGCGAAAGAUUGAAAUUGAUAUUUUUCUUAUAUUAACACGCUCAUUAUUGCGGCAAAUACAUUAGUUGUAUGUUCACAUAUAUUUUGUCAUGAUUAAAAACUGAGCUCAUUGAAAAGAAAAGAAUACGAAGUGGAAGCAAUUGAUUAUUAUUGUUCAUUAAAAGUUAUUAUUUGUAUCACCGAAUAAUCCCAUUCCAAUAAUUAACUUAAUGUUGAUUUAUUAGUAUAGGUUCAUAAUUGAUAUGGUUUCGAUAAACUUUAAUUAAUAUUAACAGCAA